CUUAGUGGCGGACGGGUGAGUAAUGUAUGAGCAACCUGCCUUUCAGUGGGGGACAACAGUUGGAAACGACUGCUAAUACCGCAUGAUGUCAAUUGGGGGCAUCCCCGAAUGACCAAAGGAUUUAUUCGCUGAAAGAUGGGCUCAUAUCUGAUUAGCUAGUUGGUGAGGUAACGGCUCACCAAGGCUGCGAUCAGUAGCCGGACUGAGAGGUUGAACGGCCACAUUGGGACUGAGAUACGGCCCAGACUCC
rnacentral:rRNA from 1 species